rnacentral:rRNA from 1 species
AACGAACGCUGGCGGCAGGCCUAACACAUGCAAGUCGAGCGCUCCCUUCGGGAAGAGCGGCGGACGGGUUAGUAACGCGUGAGAAUCUGCCUGUGGGUCGGGGACAACCACUGGAAACGGUGGCUAAUACCGGAUGAGCCGAAAGGUAAAAGAUUUAUUGCCCACAGAUGAGCUCGCGUCUGAUUAGCUAGUUGGUAAGGUAAAAGCGUACCAAGGCGACGAUCAGUAGCUGGUCUGAGAGGAUGAGCAGCCACACUGGGACUGAGACACGGCCCAGACUCCUACGGGAGGCAGCAGUGGGGAAUUUUCCGCAAUGGGCGAAAGCCUGACGGAGCAAGACCGCGUGGGGGAGGAAGGUUUUUGGAUCGUAAACCCCUUUGUCAAGGAAGAAGCUCUGACGGUACUUGACGAAUAAGCCUCGGCUAACUCCGUGCCAGCCGCCGCGGUAAU